AGUGAAGGGUGCAGCCUGGCAAGUCAUUAAUGGCUUUGCACGAUGCUUUGAUUAAUAUCGGGGAUUUUGAUCUCUAUUUGUAUGUUCUGCCAUACUUCCUCGAUGAUGGUGUUUUUGAUUAUUUACUUCUUUUCCUCACCUUGAUGAGCUAACCUUGAAUAUGCCAUUUGUGUUAUGCCCAAUGUGGAUUUUAAUCAGUGUAUCCUGGUCACAUGAUUCACCUUGUUACUUAAAUCAUAAGUUCUAGUGGAUUUUGCUGAUUUAGUUUGCUGCUAAACAAAUUUGUAAUGCUAUCAUUUUAAGAACCGAGUAGGUGUAAGUUGUGAUAAUCCUCUUAUACUGUUUUUCUUUUUCUUUUGCACAGCCUAAUUUAUGUUCUUCAUCCGAGUGGAUCCAACUUCGCUGACACACUCAUCGAUGCAUCCACAUUCUGCACGAAAAUCAUAGUUGUGAUCAGCCUUCUAUGUUUGUAUGACCUGGCUAUUGUUCAGUACUUAACCUUGCUGCAUACUUGUUUUCUUGCCGGUGACUGAUCUAAUUGCAAAUAUUGACACAUUGGUGAACUUAUGUGACGGUAUUUCAAUCAUAAUACAUUGCUGUUGGUGGUUGUACAUUCCAAGAUAUUCUAAUUGAUAUUACUGCUGUUGUUAUCCAUUAUUUCAUAGAAUUCACCAAGUGCAUAAAUAAACGGGUGCUCCUAAAAUGCAUUUAUUAGGUAGUAAUUAAGUUUGUAUACUUACUCUCUGUAGAUUAAAUGAUUAAUUUGGAGGGGUGGGUGGGCAUUAUAUGUGUGGCUGAUAUCAUUCCUAACUAAGAUCCAUAUGAUUCUUGACUGAUGUUUCUUUAUCUGCAAAGAUGAAACCGGUCCUUAGUUGAGACCUAGUACAAUUUUACGGGAAUAGUAUUUUCAGAUCUCAAAGAUUCUGAAAAUAUUUAUAUGUGUACAUAUAAUUAUGCACAUAGAUGUGGCUUUUCAUCAAUAUAUCUUCUCAUCCAUGGUGUAUACAAAAAGACAAUACAUUGGUAACAAAAUUCAAAAUAGUCAACUUUUGCUUUAUUUUAAACCACAUGCUUGUCUUUUUUGGCAUACAAAUCAACAAAUGAUUUAUUAAAAUUCUACAUGUAUGCAGGAAACGUCUAUGUGUGCUAUAGAUAUUUUUUUUGGAAGUUUUGAAACUUUUUAUCAUUUUCUAUUUUUGAAAACACCGGGCUUCAAGUGACCCAGGAGCUAACAUUGUCUCAUUCGUCUUUAAAAUUAGAAUUUGUGUUAGAUCCUUGGUUCUUCUCAAAAAGUUGUUCUGCAUGUAUUAAGAAGUCACGGUAUAAUACAAAAAUAAUCCUGAUGUUUAUACUGGUCAUUCAUUCUUACUGCAUGGAUUGUAUACGUUCCUAGAUGUUAUGAUCUGCACAAGAUGUUUUACCAACACCAACUAUUAUUCAUGUAGAAUCUGUCAAUUUGUUGCAGCUAAUGUGUAGAUUUCUGCUUUUCAUUCUAAUACCUGUCGAAAUUGUUAUUGUCUUUUCAUUUACCAUUUGGUGGCUGUAAUUAUGGCAAAUCAUCUAAAAUGCUGAUUUUUGGUGUUGCUCAUUCAACAGAUGGAGUGACCAAUCGUCUUAAAUCUUUGUCAAUCACUCUCGAGGUCGAUAGAUCAGAUAUGAUCUACAGUGCCAAGGAUAAGAUUCAAGACAAUGAGCAUAUCCCUUCAUGCCAGUAGGGAUACAUAUUUGGAUAUAGGAUGCUGGAGGGCUGCAGCACCGUGAAGGACAACAUUAUUCUGCAUCCUCCAAGGUAUGCAUAUUAAUGUUAGCGCCAAGACGCCAGGUGGCAAUAUUGUGACGCUAGGUUGAGAGCUCAGAUACUAUGAAAAAUGUGAAGAAGAUUUUCAAUGCAACAUGUCUUCAACAAGAUAUGCAACAAGUCGGCAUUCUGAAUAAGGGCUUGUUUGUUUGCUCGGGAUCCCUGCCCUUUCCCUGGGGUCAGAAGCCCGCGUAUGGAUUUAACCCUGGGAACCUACCGGUGUAUUUUGGACGCCAUCUCAGCAGGAGCAUGCCGCCCAAUCUAUGUGGCUUCUGCACCGUUUCCACCCUCCAUGGGGCUCCGCUGCCACCUUGCGAUGCCUCCGCUGCCCAUCUAGACUGCUAGGAUUUGAUCUCUGAUCCUUCUUUGCACAACUGAAUGUCCUUUGGCUCCUUCAACUAGCGCUUACUACUCUUUACUUCAGGAAUCAUUACUGUUCGUUUAUGGACAUUGGUUGUUAGCUUUUUGCACAAUUCAUUGAGAUUAUUAUGACCCAGGCAAUCUGAAUUUCUGAAAAGAAAAACCAUUGACGGCCAAAUUGCUUGCGGUUCUGGAUCCCUAGCUCACGAUUGACGACGGCGGCGAUUAGUCCUUUCUCCAGUUAACGUUGCAGCUGCCACGUGCAAGCUCUUUAUCCUGUGCCUAGAGGAAAUGGUGCCGCACCCUAUCCACCACUAUGAGGAUGGGGAGAGCGAAGGUGGGCAUGGCGCUUAACACUGACCAGAUGAGCACCCUAUGGCCGCCAAGGGAGAGUAGCCUUCCCUUCCAGCCCGUCAGUCCAGACUUUAUGCAAUCAAUAAAGAAUUGCAAGUGCACCAUUCGGAUACGCGAUAGCGUGAUCGGCGAACCUAGGUAGGUCAUGGGUAAUGUAGAUCGCCACCCCCAAACUCAGCAAGCACCUUGUCUAGGUUGAUAUCAUCACAGCGGAUGGGGGCCACCGUCGAUUUUUGUAGGUUGAUGUGCAGCCCUGUUGCCCGCCUGCCAGAAUGUAGGAUUGACAAUGGCAAACUGAUCUCGAAUCUCUUGGGAUUUGUGAAGAUAACGGCGUUGUUGGCAUAGAGGCUCACGCACAGCUUGACCGUCUUGUCCGUCAGCGAUGGCCAAGAUAAUCCCGUGUAACGGGUCGAUUGUGGGGAUAAAUAGGAAAAGGCGACACAGGUCGUCCUGUUGCAUUCCACACUUAUGGAACAUCUUCUUGGCUGCGAUCCCAUUGAGCAAGAACGUUGAGGAAGAGGUUGACAGGGGCAACUAACAUGAUUAAUAAGGAGGUACACCAUUCAAACGCACACAUGAUCAUGCCGGCGAGCACAACCAAUAACCCAAGGGAGUCGCUGUCGAUCACUGAACCACAAAAUCCUACAUAAUAUAACUACUCCUAACUCAAACCGGCUGAAGGCUGACCGCUGUUGAAACUAAUGGGGUGAGCUAACAUGAUUAACUACUUGGCCACCGGGCCCUCAUCUUCGACAGCCUCGAGGGGAUCAAGGACAAGGUAACCGCCUCUCGCACAGAUUCAUGGAUCUCGGCCGCCGGUGAUCGUGCGAUGUGUUUGCUUGCUCCCUGCUGUGUUUUGCGCGAUUUGACGGGUUCCUUCCCUGUUCGAUUUCUGGUCGCCUUUGGGCGCUGCUCUGUGCAGGUCUACCUCGAGGGGACUCACAUCGUCAUCCUUUGGUUCGAGAGGCGGUCAUCUACGACGUUCGCGCACGACCCAACCUCAUGGAGAGCACUUCCGGGGAAGAUGUCAUCUCCAUAUGG
rnacentral:lncRNA from 1 species